GCCGGGGAAACCCGAUUAACACCCCAUAACAUCCCGCCUCCGCAUGGCGCGGGAUUAAAACUCCGGUGGCGGAAGAUGGUCAUGCGUGGCAUUAGCUUGUUGGUGAGGUAACGGCUCACCAAGGCGACGAUCAGUAGCCGGCCUGAGAGGGUGUACGGCCACACUGGGACUGAGACACGGCCCAGACUCCUACGGGAGGCAGCAGUGGGGAAUAUUGCGCAAUGGGCGAAAGUGACGCAGCGACGCCUCGUGAGCGACGAAGCUUUCGGGAUGUAAAGCUCUGUCAAGAGAGAAGAUCAUGACGGUAUCUCUAAAGGAAGCCCCGGCUAACUACGUGCCAGCAGCCGCGGUAAUACGUAGGGGGCGAGCAUUAUCCGGAUUUACUGGGCAUAAAGGGCGCGUAGGGGUCAUUUAAGUCAGAUGUUAAAGGCUUCGGCUCAACCGAAGUUCGCAUUUGAUACUGAGUGACUAGAGGUCAGUAGAGGAAAGCGGAACUCAUAGUGUAGCGGUGAAAUGCGUAGAUAUUAUGAGGAACACCAGUUGCGAAGCGGCUUUCUGGACUGAAUCUGACGCUGAGGCGCGAAAGUGGGGAGCGAACGGGAUUAGAUACCCCGGUAGUCCACGCCGUAAACGGUGUUCACUAGGUGUAGGAGGUAUCGACCCCUUCUGUGCCACAGAUAAUUCGUUAAGUGAACCGCCUGGGAAGUACGACC
rnacentral:rRNA from 1 species